GCUGACAAAACUUAUUAUAUUUUGAGAAGAAAAAAAAAGUUGUUCAAUAUAUGAAAAAAUGACAAAAAAUAUGUCUAGAUUCUUUAAGCCUCUUUAUGUUAUGAUCGUCUUUAUAUCUUUAUUUUUUGUUGUUAGAGACGUAAAAGCUGGUCUUGCUCAUUUUUGUAAUGAAUACAAUCCAUGUCCUGAACAUUUGUGCAUGCCUGAUAUGAAAGUGGUUUGUACUGCUGAGGAGCUAUGCCUGUGCAUAAAACUGAUAUAGUUAAGUUCAAAAUUAAGAAUAUGUUACUUCGAACUCAGUAAUUUUAUAAACACGUCAUAAUGUUGUUACUCUUGUUACAGCUUUCACUUUCUAAUUUAUAUUUGGCCAAAAUAUUUGAAUGGUUGAUGCAAAUAUGUCUCGUUUAGUUUUUGGUCCAUGUAAAAAAAAAUUGGCACUCUAAUGUCUGCGUGGCACACUUUGACGGUGUAUAAGUAGCCACAUGACGCUGACCUGACAUUUCAAUUAAUUUAAAAAUGUAAACAAUAAUUUAAAAAAUAAGGAAAUUAAUUUUCAAAAUAAAAAAAAAAAAGUUGAAAAAAAUAGAAGAAAAAAAACGAAAUUAAUAAAAAAAAAUCAGUUUAUUUUUUUAAAUAAAAAAAUAGUGGAUUUUAAUGUAAGGUCUCAACCGAGUCCCUCACCGAUGGACCAUGAUUUUUUUUGGAAAACUAUUCUAUUUUGUUCUUGUUCAGCAAUUAAGUUUUUUGUUUUUGGGAAAGGCUUUUGUUAUCUUCUCCAAGGUAGUAACCAUCACCUCAACUCAAGUCCCAACCAAAGAGAGAUGCAACGAAAUAGUGUUUUCUAUUCCUCUUGUAAUUCUACAAUAAUGAAUUUUAAAAGAAGAAAGAAUAAGGAAAUGGCAGGAGUAAAUUAUUAAGAGCUUGCAGCUAUGAGGGUAGACAGUAAAUAAGCAAAUAGCCAAUGUUAACACUGGCCAGAAAAAAGAAAGGAGUGUCUGCCAAAGUGGAUGCAUGCAAAAAAGAGGUUUGUUUAAGGAAUAAGAGAUAUAGAACCAUUUUAUUCUUUUUGUUUUUCAUAAAAAAUAGGUUUGUUUUUCAAAAAAAAUCUUAAUAUUUAGUUUGGAAAUGAUUUUGUUUUGUUUUUUAAUAAAAGAAAAUAAUAGGGGUGAUCUGCUUUUUUUUUUUGUUAUGGAUAAGAACAGAAGGAUUUGUUUAUUUUGAUUUCCAUAACAAUUAACAUUUUGAUUAAAUUAAAUAUGAUUAAUUAAAUUAAAUAGGGUUAAUAUAGUAAAAUUAGCAAAGAAGACAAAAUUUUGCGUUCGAGUUAACUUUAAGGAAUAAGAGAUAAUAUUUCAAAGAGUUUUCUCAGUUUCCGGUGGAUUCCAGAACUUUAUUUUCAAAAGUUUGUCGCUUGCAAACUUGUUUCUUUUCAAUAUAGGUUUAACAUUUGUCAGUUGGUAUCAGAGCAAGUUUCUUUUGUUCUUUUCCUAACGUGAUCAGCCAUGAGAGAUCAACCAGAGAUGUGGCUUUAAGCGCGACCAUCUACGGUUUAAUUGCGGACGUCAAAGUUUUGACAGAUCAGAUGGUGACGUUGACAACAACAACGAUCUUGACAGCUAAAAUUGACAACAUCAACAACAACAGAAGAAAAAAAAACUGAAGAUGUAAACCAAUUCAUGAUGGAAACAAUCGAAUUAAUUUGGAUUCGUGUUCUAUGGAAGAUUCUAGUUUUUCACAGAUAAAGGAGGCUGAUGUUCUACCCCAAUUUUCAGUGCCAUCACAUGAUGUUAUUAUGAGAUACUGGCCUCCACCUGAGUUUGAGCGCAAUACCGUUGCUUUUGAUGAGGACCAACAACGAGAAGUAGAGGAAGCUCUUGUUAUUCAAGAUGCCAUCUUUGAUCUUCCUCCUAUCACAAACUUUGAAACUCAGGACGGAAUGCCGUACCAAAAUCCUCCAAAAAUAGAAUUUCAAGGAUAUAUAGGAUUGACUUAUAAACAGUUGUUGUGCCAAACUUUGGAUGAUGAUGUGAUUAUUUGCAUACCUCUUUGUUCCGUUGAUUGGUAUAUCGCUUGGGUUUUUUAAAAUUGUUAGGAGUCCAUCUUCGGCACAAAGGCAUGACUCUCCACCUGCCAAACAAUUACAUUCCACUCAAUCGGAUUCAGGAGGAUGGUCUCUUGUUCAUUGGAAUAUUCAACAUGCAUCAGAAUGAGAACUCGGGUCAGAGUUCUUCAGAGGUGGAGGCGACUGAUGUAGGAGGUUUUCUUAGUAAUUUUGUGGCAUUUUAUUACUUCAGUCUAAUUUUAUUAUUUGUUUGUUUUAUUUUCAGUUUGUUAUUUUUUGGUCCAUUAGGGUUUGUUAUUUUCCUAUUUAAGUUUAACAAUUGUAGCCUAAGAGACUUAACUUUUAUUCAUUCAAUAAUAUUUUAGAGAGUUUUCUCAAUUUUUGGUGGAUUC